rnacentral:rRNA from 1 species
AGUGAACGCUGGCGGUAGGCCUAACACAUGCAAGUCGAACGGCAGCACAGUAAGAGCUUGCUCUUACGGGUGGCGAGUGGCGGACGGGUGAGGAAUACAUCGGAAUCUACUUUUUCGUGGGGGAUAACGUAGGGAAACUUACGCUAAUACCGCAUACGACCUACGGGUGAAAGCAGGGGAUCUUCGGACCUUGCGCGAUUGAAUGAGCCGAUGUCGGAUUAGCAAGUUGGCGGGGUAAGGCCCACCACUGCGACGAUCCGUAGCUGGUUUGAGAGGAUGCGCAGCCACACUGGAACUGAGACACGGUCCUAACUCCUACGGGAAGCAGCAGUGGGGAAUAUUGGACAAUGGGCGCAAGCCUGAUCCAGCCAUACCGCGUGGGUGAAGAAGGCCUUCGGGUUGUAAAGCCCUUUUGUUGGGAAAGAAAAGCAGCAGGUUAAUACCCCGCUGUUCUGACGGUACCCAAAGAAUAAGCACCGGCUAACUUCGUG